rnacentral:rRNA from 1 species
GAGACACGGUCCAGACACCUACGGGUGGCAGCAGUCGAGAAUUUUUCUCAAUGGGGGAAACCCUGAAGGAGCGACGCCGCGUGGAGGAUGAAGGUCUUCGGAUUGUAAACUCCUGUCAUUUGGGAACAAUUGUCACCGGUUAACUGCCGGGGGCUUGAUAGUACCAGAAGAGGAAGAGACGGCUAACUCUGUGCCAGCAGCCGCGGUAAUACAGAGGUCUCAAGCGUUGUUCGGAUUCAUUGGGCGUAAAGGGUGCGUAGGUGGCGGGGUAAGUCAGGUGUGAAAUCUCGGGGCUCAACCCCGAAACUGCACUUGAUACUGCCUUGCUCGAGUACUGGAGAGGAGAUUGGAAUUUACGGUGUAGCAGUGAAAUGCGUAGAUAUCGUAAGGAAGACCAGUGGCGAAGGCGA